rnacentral:lncRNA from 1 species
GUUAAAACAAAACUGUUUUACCAAAGGUCAUGGAAUAGGAUUGGAGUCAGGUUUUCUGUCUCCUGUGUUCUUGUCAAAAAACUAGUAGAUGUCUGAAGGAAAAGCUUAAAUGUAGUUUCCAAUAAAAUAUUAGGUAGCCGGUGAAGGUGUGAGAUUUGCAAUAACUAAUAAUUUAGUUUUUGUUAGAGAAAAACAGUGAUAUACAAGGAAAUGUUGGUAAUAGUUUUAAACAGUGGUAGAAUACUCUUUGUGUCAUGUCUUUUUUAAAUGUCACACACAGUCACUAUAAAUUAAUCUUCUGUAAUUUAGUAUAAGAGAACAGAAGUCCCAUAAACAUAAAACUAACCUCUUAUAAAGUUUGGACAGAGAGAAACUCGGAUAUCCUGGCUCAUAUCCUGGCUCCACGAUAGAUCCUACCAUGUUCAUUUGUCUUUGAGACAUUUCUCCUGGACUUGUGCCAGGACUGAUGGCCCUCUAUAUUCUUGAAAGCUAAAUUCUUAAAAUAACUUAAAUGUGUAAUGUAUCCUUGGUAUAGCCUUUGCACAGAUCUGCUGCCCCCUACUACGUAGAGGUGGCUCAUUAAGACAUGUUAGUGGAAUAAUUAAUAAAAAUGUAAAUGAAUGGAAUAAUUAAUUAAAAACAAGACAUACAUUAGUAUCAUGAUCUAAGUCUUCAGAUGUUGCUCAGUUUUGAUGCUAAUCCUUACGUAUCUAUAUGUGUAUGUGCGUGCAUGCACAUAUGUGCAUUUUUUUUCCUCUACAGCACCAAUGUGGUUAUGAAUUAUUCAGAGAUCGAGUCCAAAGUUCGAGAAGCAACGAAUGAUGAUCCUUGGGGACCUUCUGGGCAGCUCAUGGGAGAGAUUG